UACAGAGGUCUCAAGCGUUGUUCGGAUUCAUUGGGCGUAAAGGGUGCGUAGGCGGCGCGGUAAGUCGGGUGUGAAAUUUCGGAGCUUAACUCCGAAACUGCAUUCGAUACUGCGGUGCUUGAGGACUGGAGAGGAGACUGGAAUUCAUGGUGUAGCAGUGAAAUGCGUAGAGAUCAUGAGGAAGACCAGUGGCGAAGGCGGGUCUCUGGACAGUUCCUGACACUGAGGCACGAAGGCCAGGGGAGCAAACGGGG
rnacentral:rRNA from 1 species